rnacentral:rRNA from 1 species
AUGGACAAGGACGAUCGCUAUAUUGAUGUGGCAGUUCGGUUACAUGCUGACGCCGAACAGUGGAGAGUAACGUUUGUGUACGGGGAGCCGCGUGUUGAGAAUCGUCUCCUAAUGUGGCAGAAACUUCAAUCCCUGUUCAACACCUCGGACCUUCCUUGGUUGGUUAUUGGAGAUUUUAACGAGUGUCUCUGGGAAUUUGAACACCUCUCAGCAACACCAAGAGCUGAAUCACAAAUGUUGGCCUUUCGUGAUGUGCUUGAGGUAUGUCAACUAGUGGAUAUUGGUUUCUCAGGUGUACCGUUUACUUAUGAUAAUAGGAGAAGCGGGACUGCAAACGUGCGUGUACGUUUGGAUCGUGCUGUCGCCUCUAAUGCUUGGCGCAAUAUGUUCGCUUUCUCCUCAGUGGCCCAUGUGGUGUCUCCCUGUUCGGAUCAUGUGGUUCUUAUCCUUAAGGGGACCCCGGACCCUGGGCCGAGCGCAGGAAGACGACGCCAAUACGAAAUCUUUUGGGAGCGAAGUGGUGAGCUUCCCGAGUUGGUGCAGCAAGCAUGGGAGUCGGUGGGAGCAAUUGGGAACCUUGAACAGUUGCAGUCAGCCCUGAAGAAGACCAUGUAUACUUUGGGCAUAUGGAGGAGAUUUGGACAAUUUUCGGUGAAGUCGGCGUAUGAGUUUGCUUUUGAGGAAGCCAACAGAGAAUCUCAACCUGCGUCUAGCACUAAUCCAGAGGGUUGCCGGGCCAUCUGGAACCUGAUAUGGAAAACGGAUGUUCCUCCAACAGUCAAAAACUUUGCUUGGAGAGUGGUCUCAGAUUCCCUUCCUACUUGGGUUAACAAGCAUAAGAGGACCUUAGAAAUCACCAGCAUAUGUCCGGUGUGUGGUGUGGAACCGGAAGACAACUUCCAUCCUCUAUGUCGCUGCCCUAGAGCAAGAGAAUUAUGGUGCUAUAUGUCAGAGGUUUGGAACCUCCCACUGGUGGAUACCAUUCAGAAUGUUGGGAAGGAAUGGCUGUUCCAAGUGCUACAGCCACUUCAUGAAUUAGAGAGGUCCAUGCUUCUUAUGACUCUCUGGAGGUGUUGGUUCAUUCGUAAUGAGAUAGUGCACAAUAAGAUUCCGCCUCCCCUUGAGGUAUCGAGGAGGUUCCUUGUCAGCUAUCUGGAGUCACUAAUUGCUAUCAAAACGAACAUGCAUAUGGAUCCAGCCAAGGGGAAGUCAAUUAUCUCCUUUGAUCGCACGUUAACCCAUGCUGAUGCGCCCGUACCGGCCGCCCUGAAGUGGGCUGCACCACCGGAAGGGUGGGUAAAGCUAAACACGGACGGCUCUUUUCAUGAUGGUAGGGCAGGUGCAGGUAUGGUAUUACGGGAUCCUUCGGGGGAUGUAAUCUUUUCAGCUUGCAGAACACUUUACUCGUGUCGUGAAGCUUUGGAGGCAGAGCUGGGUGCUUGCAUGGAAGGUCUUUCUCUAGCGAUCCAGAGAAGUGAUCGUCCAGUGACCAUUGAGUUGGAUUCACUUGUUGCUAUAAAGCUGAUUCAAGGACAGGAGACAAAUAGGUCUAUUUAUGCUUCUUUAGUAAAAGAGAUUAGAUAUCUUUUAUCCCUUCGUGAAUGUUGUAUUACUCAUGUAAACCGGUCUCAAAAUCAGGUUAGCGAUAGUCUAGCAAAUUUUGCUCGUACCGAGGGAAGAACCAUGACUUGGAUUGGCUCUGGUCCCCCGAUAGUGCUUGAGCUAGUCGCCGCUGAAUGUAACUCUUUGUUGGCUUGA